rnacentral:rRNA from 1 species
GCCAAAAACCUAGCCCAAACCACCCCCCAUGAUUCUCAACUAUAAAAACCUGAACUAAAACAUUUUAAAAGUCAAGUAAAGGUGAUUGAAAAACUUCUUAGAGCUAUAAAUUUAGUACCGCAAGGGAAUGAUGA